UUCGACCAUGGGAUAGUGUAUCAGAGUGUGCCUCAGACAGACAGAGAGAGAACACACAGACAGCAGCAGGAGAGGUUGGAAGCAGCAAAGUUGAGCACUGCAGGAGACGUCUGUGAGAGUGAGCAUGGUUUGGGCACGGAGGGGGCUAGUGUUGGGCCUGCUGGUGUGUUUAUGUCUCACGGAGACCCUGGCACAGGGUACUGGAGGGGCAAAGAGCAGGCCCAAAAAGGAAAGACCCAAAAAGAAAAAAGACCCCACCACCACCUCUGAGAUCGCAGCGGCCCAGAACGUAGACAUAGACCAGAUGGCGGGGACGUGGUACCUGUCUAGCGUGGCGUCCAAGUGUUCCUACCUGAUGACCCACGGGUCCAGCGUGGAAGCUGUAGUGUUGACCCUGACCCCGCCCUCCAAGCCCAAACAGCCCCUGUCUGUCAGCACCAUGACGCGUCAUAAUCAUCAGUGCUGGGAGGUGUUGCAAGCCUACACUCUCACCCCCACUCCAGGGCACUUUGUACUUAAUGGGGGAAGGCCUCUGCUGGACACGGCUGUGGUGGUUGUGGACACGGACCACAGCUCCUAUGCCGUCUUCCAUCUCCAGAAGAAGGAGCAGGUCACCCUCAAAUUCUACAGCAGGACUAAGAAAGUAUCAGAAGCCAUAUUGGAUAAGUUUCAGGAUGUGGCCAAGAAGCAUGGCUUUGAUUACGACUUAAUGACUCCCUAUCCCAGCUACAGUGGGUCUGCUCUGCACAGUCGUGCUGUCAUCUGCCCACAACACAGACAGUUCAACAGCUUUAUUCUGCACACCCUGAGGAUUUACAGGGUGAAUUAAUGUGUCUUUCUUUAACAGGUCACUGUGAGUCAGUAGAAAAGGUGCACGUGAUUAACUGCGUACCGUUCUGUUGAGGAAACGUUGUGUUCCAUGUCCUUCCCAACCAAGAGUACUGGUCAAGCCGGCAGACUGCGGACGGCACUAUAUGCC